rnacentral:rRNA from 1 species
GCUGCAACUCGCCUACAUGAAGCUGGAGUUGCUAGUAAUCGCGAAUCAGAAUGUCGCGGUGAAUACGUUCCCGGGCCUUGUACACACCGCCCGUCACACCAUGAGAGCUGGUAACACCCGAAGUCCGUGAGGCAACCGUAAGGAGCCAGCGGCCGAAGGUGGGAUUAGUGAUUGGGGUGAAGUCGUAACAAGGUAGCCGUAGGAGAACCUGCGGCUGGAUCACCUCCUUUCUAAGGAGA